GUCCUUUUGAUUUUAAUUUAAGGUCUGACCUGCCCUCUGAUUAUUUGAAUGGCCGCGGUACUUUGACCGUGCAAAGGUAGCAUAAUAAUUAGUUUUUUAAUUGAAAGCUGGUAUGAAUGGUUGGAUAAAGGAAUAACUGUCUCUUUCUAAAUUUUUUAGAAUUUUAUUUUUAAGUAAGAAAGCUUAAAUGUUUUUAAAAGACGAGAAGACCCUAUAGAGUUUUAUAUAUUAUAAAUAUUAAUUUUUUUGGAAAUUAUUAACUUUAUUAUUAUACUGUAUUUUGUUGGGGCGAUUGAAAAACUAAUUAAACUUUUUCUUUAUUAUAACAUUAAUUUAUGAUUUGUUGAUCCAUUGUUAGUGAUUAUAAGAUAAAAUUACCUUAGGGAUAACAGCGUAAUCUUUUUUGAGAGUUCUUAUCGAAAAGAGGGGUUGCGACCUCGAUGUUGGAUUAAAAUUAAUUUUUGGUGUAGAAGCUAAAAAUAUUAGGUCUGUUCGACCUUUAAAAUUU
rnacentral:rRNA from 1 species